ensembl:snRNA U2 U2 spliceosomal RNA
AUCACUUCUCAGCCUUUUGGCUAAGAUCAAGUGCAGUAUUUGUUUUUAUCAGUUUAAAGCACAUAACUGGAAAAUCUCCAACAUCAGAAAUUAGGGGCUAAUGAUACAUAUGCAAAUAGAAAAAUGGAUACAAAUU